AGCGAACGCUGGCGGCAGGCCUAACACAUGCAAGUCGAACGAAGUCUUCGGACUUAGUGGCGGACGGGUGAGUAACACGUGGGAACGUGCCUUUAGGUUCGGAAUAACUCAGGGAAACUUGUGCUAAUACCGAAUGUGCCCUUCGGGGGAAAGAUUUAUCGCCUUUCGAGCGGCCCGCGUCUGAUUAGCUAGUUGGGGAGGUAAAGGCUCACCAAGGCGACGAUCAGUAGCUGGUCUGAGAGGAUGAUCAGCCACAUUGGGACUGAGACACGGCCCAAACUCCUACGGGAGGCAGCAGUGGGGAAUCUUGCGCAAUGGGCGAAAGCCUGACGCAGCCAUGCCGCGUGAAUGAUGAAGGUCUUAGGAUUGUAAAAUUCUUUCACCGGGGACGAUAAUGACGGUACCCGGAGAAGAAGCCCCGGCUAACUUUGUGCCAGCCGCCGCGGUAAUAC
rnacentral:rRNA from 1 species